rnacentral:rRNA from 1 species
AGCAGCCGCGGUAAUUCCAGCUCCAAUAGCGUAUAUUAAAGUUGUUGCAGUUAAAAAGCUCGUAGUUGAAUUUCGAGACCGGCUUACUGGUCGUGCUAUUGUACGUACUGGUAUAAUCGGUUUCUCCUUUCUGACGAACUUUAAUACCAUUAAUUUGGUGUUUUAGGGAAUCAGGACUGUUACUUUGAAAAAAUUAGAGUGUUUAAAGCAGGCUCACGCUUGAAUACAUUAGCAUGGAAUAACGGAAUAGGACGUUUGAUUCUAUUUUGUUGGUUUCUAGGAUCGACGUAAUGAUUAAUAGGGAUAGUUGGGGGCAUUAGUAUUCAAUUGUCAGAGGUGAAAUUCUUGGAUUUAUUGAAGACUAACUACUGCGAAAGUAUUUGCCAAGGAUGUUUUCAUUAAUCAAGAACGAAAGUUAGGGGAUCGAAGACGAUCAGAUACCGUCGUAGUCUUAACCAUAAACUAU